GACAUAAGUUUGUAAAGCAUGACCAAGAAGCAUGAAGCAACAACAACAAACAGGACGGCCGAUGUGGUGUUGAUGUCUACAACACUACUAACACCUACAACCUUGUCAUUUGGAAUUUCAUCUACUGCAUCCUUCAAUAGCUUGUCAUGUUCAAUAGCUACUUCUCUGGCACUCCAUGCAGACCAGUAAGAUGCACACAAGAUGGUAACAACCGCCAUCAGCCACAAAAAUACUUCGG
rnacentral:misc_RNA from 1 species